UUCGAAGCAACGCGAAGAACCUUACCAGGUCUUGACAUCCCUGACACCCGAGAGAUCGGGCGUCCCCCUUCGGGGGACAGGGUGACAGGUGGUGCAUGGUUGUCGUCAGCUCGUGUCGUGAGAUGUUCGGGUUAAGUCCCGCAACGAGCCGCAACCCUCGACCUUAGUUGCCAGCAUUCAGUUGGGCACUCUAAGGUGACUGCCGGCUAAAAGUCGGAGGAAGGUGGGGAUGACGUCAAAUCAUCAUGCCCCUUAUGACCUGGGCUACACACGUGCUACAAUGGGCGGUACAAAGGGUCGCGAACCCGCGAGGGGGAGCCAAUCCCAAAAAGCCGCUCUCAGUUCGGAUUGCAGGCUGCAACUCGCCUGCAUGAAGCCGGAAUCGCUAGUAAUCGCGGAUCAGCACGCCGCGGUGAAUACGUUCCCGGGCCUU
rnacentral:rRNA from 1 species